ACAUCCACACCUCCUCCUACAUCCACACCUCCACCUACAUCCACCUCUCCUCCAGCUUUCACCUCUGUCACUCUUCUUCCAUCACUCUCUCUUCCUCUUCUCUCUCUGUUGUCAUGUGUUGGAUCCUCCUGUGUUGUGGUUCUACUGGUGUUACUGGUUCUGCUGGUGAGACGAUGUGUUCACAGGAAACCUGAAGAUCAAGAUGAACCUGUAGAAGAUGACAUCACGUAUGGUGACAUCCAAAUAUCAAUCAAACGAACUCGAGACUUUAAACCACAGCCAGAGACCAUCUACUCUUCACUGAAGUAGUCCACCAGUCCAACCACAGACGUCCAGCUGCUGGUCUCUAACUGGUCCCCAGCACCUGAGACAAGAGGACAUCCACAAGUUAACUUUUCACUGAUUUAGAUUAAAAUGAUACAAAACUUCAAAAACCAUAUGAGUAUAUUUUUAACUGAAAAUUUAAAUGUUUAUUUUGCUGUAGUGACAAAUAAUAUAAAUAUGUUAAUGUGUUUCAUGGCCAGAGUAGCUUCACUGUUUAUAUUUAAGUAUGUCUCAAGCACCUUGUUCUUGUUCCCUCAGCUACUACUUAAUUUCUGUGCAUGGAUAAUAAAUCUUUGCUCUCAUUUAUUUUCCUCCUGUGGUUCAAAAGGAAAUUAGUCAUAUAAAGUCUGCUUCCAUCUACUGGUAAAACUGAGCAAUACAAUAGAGCUCGAGCCAAAUAUCAAAAUUAUUGAUGAUGUUGGUAGAGCGAAAGACACAUUUACAUUCCAGCUCCAAAAAAAUCAGAAUAUUUGCAGUCUGGCACAGCACUAAGCAAAGCAGCUGCUUUUCACAUAACAAUACUUUGACAGUGUGACAUCUUUCAAUUGACUCCUGAAGUCAUUUUUGUUUAACUGCUUUUUAUCAAAAUAAUGGUUCCCAGAGUGGCAGCAAAUUAUACAACAUGUCGAUAACUAUAUGUAGAUUAUCAGAGCUCCAUUGUAGUUUUAGGUCAUGAUUCUGUCUUGCGACUCAAAGACUAAUUGUUUCUUAUAUGGUGUACUUUUUCUGAAUACAUUGAAUUUUAGCUCUGCAAAUAAUAAAUCACUCUCCAAAUUACUCUCCACUGAAGAAAAUAGACAGAUGUUCUGUAUUUCCUGUUCUUGCUGUGCUAAGAAUGACCAGGACCAGGAAAGUCAAGCACAUCAAAAUAAAGUA